CUACUGGUCCGUUUGACAGGAUUCCUUUAACCAAAUUCAUCUACUGGUCCAUUUGACAGGUUUCCUUUAACCAAAUGUAAAACCUCCAAACACUGAUGGCAAAAUUGACAAAUUCAUAUAAUGUCAGGAAACUUUUAAAAUGGCUAAAAUGAGCAAGCUUGACAAGCAAACUCCUAUGUCCGUAUUUGGUGGUGUCAGACCGUGUACUGCCCGUCUCCUGCGGGGGGAAGAGUCGUGGUUGGACACCUGAGAUGGAGGGGAAGACUACCACACCACGGUUUGAUUUACUUAAAUGAAGGGAGCCUGCUUGCCUGACAGUCAACUGAAUUUUAAUUCCACUGUACCUUUUCUUGGAGUGUCCAGUAGAAGGCAGUGUUGCAUCGAUUUCAGGUUUUCCCCCAUUUCCUUCUCCUCACCUGAGGUUGUCAGAUGUCACUGUUUAGGAGUGUAGAAAGACAGGUACAUUACAUAGCUUCAACAGAAUGCAGCCUUUACAGAACAAACCUUGUCCCUUGGAUCUUUCUGGAAUUUUUUUUGACAUUCUAUGCGUUAUGGCAAUAUCUGAAUCCAUGGGAUAGCUAUCAUUGACCCCUCUUUGUCCCUUGCUCGCAAAACAAUCCAAGAUAAAUGCUACAAGAGAGGUAGUGUCCUGAAAAAAGACCAAAAAAAACAAUGAAUUCAGACAGAAAAUAUUAUUGCCAUUUGUGAUGAUAAUGAUUGUGAAAUCAUCAGUUCAAUCAGAUUAAUGUAGUGGUGGGUAGAUCAAGUCAGUGAACUGAAUAUCAAAGGAUGAUCAAUAUUUGGAAUCAUAUUUGAAGCGGGCAAUCACAUGGAAACUUUAAAAUGAAAUUAUUUUCAUUGUUCUUAUUUAAUGUUAUUUUCAUUGUUCUUAUUUAAGUCUACAAAUGAAACAGCAAAAGAAUGAAACACUAUUCCACUCUAUUCCAAGCUUUUUCUGUUUUCCCUUGGCUAAUGAGUGUCAGCAAGGCUGAAUUCUCGAGGCGCGCACCUCGUUUGUGAAACUCUGUCACUUCAUGCGCUUCUGCUUCCCGCUUCCCGGUGUCUCUCAGCGGGGACCACAGGGGCUGGCAAACACACACACUCACACAUUUUUUCAAUUCCUGCAGCAAUCCAAUAACUCACCAAAAUGUGUGGAGUCACUGGAAUCGCUUCCCUUUUGCUAACCAUAAUUCAGAAUACUGAAAAAAAACAUGAUUGUGGACAUCUGGUUCCUUUUCUGGCUUCAGUGAAACAGCUCUAGCCCUGGCAGAGAGCCCCGGUGCCACCCUCCAUGGCUCCGGCUGACAGAUGCAGAUCACAUCCACCACUAAAGAGGAGGGCCACUUCAGAGAACAAGAGAAUACAUUUACACACCACCAGUUUGACAAAAAGAGAUAUGUGAGGAUGAUGAUGGUGAUGAUGAUGAUAAUGAUAUGUUCUUGAUGUGAUGAAUAGAAUGCAAUGAUGCAAGGUAAAAGCAGACAUGGAAACAAUAUAUAGCCAUCCCCAAAACAGAUUUUUUGUUUUGUUCUGGGUUAUCUAACACCUGAAAAAACAACGUGUUUUUACAAUGGUUUAACUACAGACUACAGACUUUGGAUUUUGAUGUGUCCAUGCACG
ensembl:lncRNA